CCAGACGGUCGGGCGGUCGCGGCGCUUCGGCGUCGAGGAAAGUCCGGGCUCCACGGUGACAAGGCGGCGGGUAACGCCCGCCGGGAGCGAUCCCAGGGAUAGCGCCACAGAAAGCAAACCUCCCUGCUCCGGCAGGGGAAGGGUGAAAGGGUGGGGUAAGAGCCCACCGCGGACGUGGCAACACGGACGGCAUGGCAAGCCCCGCCUGGAGCAAGACCGAAUAGGGGUGUCGCGCCUUCGCAAGAAGGCAGGGCUGUCUCCGGCCUGAGAUACCCGGGUGUGUCGCGAGAACCGCUCCGCGAGGGGCGGUCCAGAGGAAUGACCGUCACGUCGUCUUCGGGCGGCGGACAGAACCCGGCUUACAGACCGUCUGGCAUU
rnacentral:RNase_P_RNA from 2 species